rnacentral:lncRNA from 1 species
CCUCUCUCUCUCUCUCUCCUUCUCUUUCUCUCUCUAGACGCCUACUCCGGCGAGGGCUUUGGUUUCGUGGAGCCUCAGGCAUUGCAUUGCGUGAGGCCGAACCCUCCCGUCGUUUCUUUGUGCUCUUUGUUGCCUAGGGUUUGGGGUUUUCUUGGACGGACGCCGCUUGGCUCCCUCCGACUCUGCUCUCCCGUACCAGAGCUCACAGGGGAGAACAAAAGCAGGCGCUAGUGGACAAGAUGAAGGUAUUAAAGUG